rnacentral:rRNA from 1 species
AUUGAACGCUGGCGGCAGGCCUAACACAUGCAAGUCGAGCGGAGCGGCGGACGGGUGAGUAAUGCCUAGGAAUCUGCCUGGUAGCGGGGGAUAACGUCCGGAAACGGUCGCUAAUACCGCAUACUAUCAGAUGAGCCUAGGUCGGAUUAGCUAGUUGGUGGGGUAAAGGCCUACCAAGGCGACGAUCCGUAACUGGUCUGAGAGGAGGAACAGUCACACUGGAACUGAGACACGGCCCAGACUCCUACGGGAGGCAGCAGUGGGGAAUAUUGGACAAUGGGCGAAAGCCUGAUCCAGCCAUGCCGCGUGUGUGAAGAAGGUCUUCGGGUUGUAAAGCACUUUUAGUUGGGAGGCGUUACCAACAGAAUAAGCACCGGCUAACUUCGUGCCAGCAGCCGCGGUAAUUC